rnacentral:lncRNA from 1 species
AUGAGCUUUGCUCAGCGCCUGACCACUGCUCACCCAAUCCCCCCUGAGCCCCCGGCCCCUGGUGGGGUGGACACGAACCCCCCCUCAAGCCUUCGAGAGACACCCCACCACCCUGCUCAGCACCGCAGCCUGCUGCAAAGUUUCAUACUCCCAAAACCAUCUGCCCGCCGAGGCCACUAUCAUCUCCUGCGCCUCCUACCUCUUCACCCUCCCUUCGCUCUGAUGCGCUGCCAUGGAGGUGCCCCAGGUGGGCACCCGCUUCCCCGGGUGGGCACCCAGCCUGGACCCCAGCACCCACGAGCACAGGGCAUCCACUGCCGCGGCCCAGGGCCUCAGGGCAACCAUGGCACCAGCACCCGCCACCCAUCAGCGGCUCACCUGGGCUCCGCUGGGGCUGGUGCCAGCAGCGAUACCGAUACUGGUGCCGGCGGUGCUGCUGCCGGUGUCGGCGGUGCUGCCGAUGCCGGUGUUGGUGCCGGCGUUGAUGCUGAUGUUGGUGUCCGUGUCGAUGCUGAUGCCGAUGCCGGUGCCGCUGCCGCUGCCGCCGCCGCUGCCGCCGCCGGUGCCGCUGCCAGCCGGUGCCCGGAAGAAGGAUGCUCCGCGCCGGGCAGGAGCCCCGGGGACGCCGCCAGCUCGCAGGCAGCCCCUGGGGCACCCGGGGCCGAGCCGCCGCCGCCGCCCGCCGCCGCCGCUCCCCGCAGCUCCCCCCGCCCGGCCCCCUCCGCCGCCGCCGCGCCGCCCCGCCCGCCGCCUCCUCCCGCCGCCGGGCCCUGCUGGGGGGCUGCCGGGGCCGCCCCCCCAUUCCCGCCGCCUGCCCGCCGGGCACCGGCGCCCCCCGCCGACCUCCCCCCACCUCGGGCGCUGCGUGCCCUCUGCCCCCCCGCGCUGAGACACCGCGAGGGGGCUGUGACACCCCCACUCAGGGGCGCAGCUCUCCCCGUAAGGCUCCACGUGACGUCGCGCUGCCAUGCGCCGGCAGGACCCACCAGCCCGGGCAGGGGGCUUGUAGCCCGGCCUGGCCAGCGGCUCCACGUGGAAAAAAAGUGCAAAACACUCAAUUUCUUCUGA